UCGGCUCUGCGGCCGGGCCCCGAGCGAGCUCCGCGCGACCGGGAGGGAGCCAAGGGCUCGCCGGGUUCAAAGGGCCGCAGCCCCGAGGGAAUGCCCUCUUCGUUGUGUCCCGGGGUGCAGAAGCGGACUGCAGGGCGGUGGGACCCGCCUAGGUCACGGGUUGAAAGCAGACCACAGGACAUUUGGCUUCAAGAAGGAAAAAAGAAAAUUUGCUGGAAAAGGACUCUGCAGAACUGGGCAUAGCUGUGCCUGACUGUCCAAAGAAAGCACUUUGGGCCCACACCCAUCUCUCAAAUCUGUCUAAAUCUUGUUGAAUUCAUUCAACUUUCUGAUUUAGAACAUUUAACUAUAGAUUUGUCUAUUUUAAUUGAGCCUCUCUGCUGAGCCUCUAUAAUAAAGACAUUGAAGAUAUGGAUUCUCUUUUGUAAAUGUAGGAAUAUAUUCUGAAGCUUGGUUGGGGAAGUCACUGUAGUCACAGACUAUCCCCCAAUUUUUUACCUUAAUGCUUUUUAAUUUGUUUUGUGGUGCUGUGCAUCAAUUCCAGGUCCUCACAUAUGCUAGAUGAAGAUGAAGACAGUAACACAGAAGUUACACCAUCAUCAUCAUUGUCAUCAGCAGCAGCAGCAGCAUUAAUGGUUCUUAACUCUGAUUGAGAAGGUAACCAGUUCCUGGAACAUGGAGAGUAUGCUAUUUCAAGAAUCCUCAAACAAGUCUUUAAAAACACAAGGUGGUUAAACACAAGAUGAGCUCCAGGAGAGGCGGAGUUGCAUAUGGCACCAUUUGGAACCAAAGGGCUCCAGUCCCUUUAUGCUUCAUGGACCUGUAUCAAUCUCUGUGCCUCCAGCAUCUUCAUUCCUCCUCUCUCCCCACUGCCAGCCCUCACACUUGUGCACAGUCAUCAUGGGAGGGAGGCGAGUUUACUCUCCAUAAACAAUUUGCUGGUUGGCUACUCUGAGUCUGCCAACCAGGUUGCCAAUUCUGAUGUAGACACCUGUCCAUUUGGAACAGGAAUGAAAACAGCCAUUCAAUUCCUAGAAACCAUCAAACACCCUGUCAGCGAACAACAGGUCUCUGUUAACUGCAAUCUGGGCAAGACAUGAAUGGUCACACGGACAAUUACCACUCCUCCAAGCCAUUCGGCUUCCUUAAAAUUGAUGAAAGUUUCUGAUCUUUUCACCACAAUGUAGUUUGAUGAAGGUCACAAUUCAAUGAUGGUGAUAAUAAGCUGCUAAGCUUUGUUUUUGUUAUGCAAUUGGAAUUCCAAAACAAUGCUAUGAAGAACGUGCUAGUAAGAGAAGAAGGUCAACCCAUAUUUUCAGGUGGCUUCCUGAAUGAUAUCUUCAUUGUUGGAAAAACAAUGAAAAUUAUUUCCAACCACUGUUAGAUUCUGGAAAAUGUGCACAAUUUCACACAGAAGUAACAUCACAACCAUGACUCUUCCUUUCUGUCACAACACGUGAAAAACACGUGAAAAAAUGGGAGAUUCGCUGUCACCCAUCUACAAACUUAGGGCAUUCUAAAGUGACUUGUCUGAGUGGGGGUGAUCAGACCUUCCCCUGCUCAGUCUCCACCCCACCCCGCCCGCACACUCGCCGCCAAAAGUAAAUUUCGAACGGGCUUCUCUCAUUUUGAGGACCGCGCUUUAGCAGCACGUGUGUUUGCAGCUUCAGAGACCCAGAACUUUCUCCUACAGCCGCAGCUCCCCUGGCAGCGAUCCCGGCGGGGCCCUGGGAGCAGCGAUUGCGGCUCUGCUGCGGGCGAUUUUGGGGUGGUGGGCUCCCGGCACCUGCGACUUCGGAGCGUGCGGAUUGAGGUGACCCGCGCAGGACACGAUCUCCCCAGUCGGCCCCGCAGGAGUUAAACCCGAGGCAGACAAAAGAGAGGCCGCUGCGGCUCCUUUUCUCCGCUGUCAGUUGAAAAUAGAACCGCUGCCCUCUGGACUUUAACUCCCGACAGAAAGGGCAUUUUAUUACAGGUUAUGACAAGUUGCAGAGAGACACGGAGAACUCAAUAAGAAGGAGCGGCGAGUGGAAUAAAAAAUGCUCGAGAUGUUUGGAAGACAGACCGAAGAUGGCUUCAAAUGAUAGGUGUUAGCAGGACUCGAGAUACAAUCUGCGGACUGGGGCCGGGUGGGAGCCGCGCAGCGUCGCGCGCGGCCGGAGGGAGAGGGCCGCGGGGCUGGGAGCUGUGCCCAUCAUCUGAGGGCGGCCUGCAGCUAACUCUGGAGGACCCCUCCGCCUCUUCAGAAGCCACUACUGCAACUGAUCAUCCCAGAAAAUUCUGGCCCACGCGUCUGCUCAAAUUUGCUACAUUGUGUUCUAGGUUAUAAGUCGGCAGGAAAUCUACACUUGUAUCUCCCAGGCUCUGUUUCUUUGAGGUCCUCUGUAAGGAUUUCAGCGUACAUAGUGUACUCCACUCAACGUCCUGCCCCAUACAGACUUCCAAUAGACGAAUAGUUUUGCUUCUUUUCCUCUGGGGUUCCCUCUCAUCUACUUAAGACAGGAGAAAAUGAAAUUACUACGGAAACAUAUUUUAGUAAGGUUCUUUUUGCAUGGUCUGCUAAGUUAGCACUACAGUCUUAGCUGUGGCACUGACCAGCUGAUUUUAGGUGGGGAAUAUGUCCUCCUUUUCCUCUGGUCAUUUUUCAAAUGCUUUUCAUCACCUAUCACCAGUACAGAACAGCUCUGGGUACCGGAAUGCCCAGAUCUGCAGAACCUUGUCCUGCCCUUAACAGAGUGGGGUGGAGGAUACUGUACAGAACACAAAAUCAGCAUCCCAACCAGAAGUGGAACUUGUGUUAUUGGGUUGGCCAGAGGAUACCAGCUUAGUUGGAGAGGACAGUUAUCUGGAGAAAUGCUAGUGGAAAGAAUGUGGAGCAACUUUUUAUUGUAAAAGGUGGGAUAUGUUUAUUGACCAUUCCCAUAACACCAAACAUGAGAAAACAGUUGCCCAAGCAGGCCUCCCUACAAACUUCGUUUUCUUGAAAGUUUUUAGCUCAAUCCAAGCCAGACACUGUAAACUUUUCUGCCAGCACUUUGCAAAUGCUGAAAAAUAAACUCCAGAUUCUUCUCCCAGUUCCCUUAAAAAAAUCUAUGCAAAUAAAAUGUGAGCAGUCUUGUUGUCUAUAACUGGUUUCUCAUUCACUGAGGGAGGGCUGGGUUCACACAGGUAUUUAAAAAGUUGCUCAAGCUCUAUGUGCUGGUGUAAAUGAGUUAAAUUCAAAACAUUUAAAACACCGGUUUCAAAUAGGCUAUUUCUUGAAGUGAGAAUCUUGGACACACUUUAUGCCCUCCCCUCCUCAUCUUAACCAACUGGUGCCACUACUUUGUUUUCUCAACCUGACCUAAUUUUAAAUUAUAAUUUUUCUCAAGUAUUUGUUCUCCUCCUGUCAGUGUACCUGAUCUUUAUAAACCAUAAUCAUUUGUUCUCCUUCUGGAACUCUUAGUUACAUCUUCUCACAACAGUUUAAGUCAGAACUAUAAACAGACCUCCAUCUCAAAUUUGUGACGGAAGUUGAAAAAGUUCGUAUUACAACAACUUAGUCUGAAAAACAUGCGCUGAGUACUCGUUGUAUGCAGAGCAACUGCUUCAAAAACUUAAAAUUAAAAAGCCUUAAAACUAAGUGAGUGGAAAAGAUUCCCAGAAAAGAGAAAAAAAGAAAUCUAUAGCAUUGAAGUUACAAAAUGAAUGGGAUGGGAGAUGCUUUUUUAUCUGUCGUGAUGUGCUAUUAGUGAGAA